UACGGGGGGGGCAAGCGUUGUUCGGAAUUACUGGGCGUAAAGGGCUCGUAGGCGGCCAACUAAGUCAGACGUGAAAUCCCUCGGCUUAACCGGGGAACUGCGUCUGAUACUGGAUGGCUCGAGUUUGGGAGAGGGAUGCGGAAUUCCAGGUGUAGCGGUGAAAUGCGUAGAUAUCCGGAGGAACACCAGUGGCGAAGGCGACUUCCUGGCCUGUUCUUGACGCUGAGGCGCGAAAGCUGGGGGAGCAAACGGG
rnacentral:rRNA from 1 species